rnacentral:lncRNA from 1 species
CAAAAGGGCAGGGAAGUUUGUUAUAUAUAAACUUUUUGCUUCUAGUAAUUUUAAACAUUUUCAGUCUACUUAUAAUAUCUCACAUAGUGAUGAUUUAAACAACUUAAAAACAGAAAUUUCAGCCCAAUAUGGUGGCACAUGUCAGUUUUGCCAUACUGGGGAGGCUGAGGCAGGAGGAUGCUUGAGCCCAAGAGUGUGGGGCCAGCCUGAGCAACACAAUAAGUCUCUAUUUCUAAAAGCUAAAACAAAAACAGAAUUUUCAGUGUAUGCAGUGGUGUUAGCAUAGUUACUGGAAGUUUGGAGACUGUACUUGUAUCAUACUUGAUUUAUAUUUGUGAAACAAAUUUUAAGCCUUAUAAUAUAGGUGUAGACAUGAUAUAAUUGCAGACACUUGUUAAUAUGGGAAACUAAUUAUCUGGUUUAUAAUUUAUCUCAAUUAAGAUUAAAUAGGAAUAUUGAUAAGGAGUUAGUUGUAGAUCUAGUCUAUUGAUAUAUAAUACUAUAAUAAUAAAUAUAUCUUUAAGAAGGUCUUAUGCCAAGAGCUUUUGAUAAACUUGAUGUAUUAGUCAGUUUUGCAUCACUGUGACCAAAAUAUCUGGCAAGAAAACUUAGAGGGUCCAUUCCAUUGCUCUGGGCCCAAGGUGAGGCAGGACAUCAUAGCGGAAGGGUGGGGAGGAGUGCUGCUCAUCUCAUGGCAGCCAAGAAACAGAGAGAGGGAAGGGGGAAGCGGCCACAAGGAAGGGACAUUUCCUUCCAGGGAAUGUCCCCAGUGACCCACCUCCUCUAGCCACACCCCACCUGCCUACAGUUACUACUCAGUCCAUUUCGACUAGGACAGAAUCGUUUCACCUCUAAACAUUCCUGCAUUAACACAGGAACUCUGGGGGAAAUCUCAUAUCCAAACCAUAAUAUUUGGGUCAUACUGUUAUUAAAGGAUUUGUUUUAUAUAGCUUUUUGUAUCUUGAUGUUAGUUGAUCUCAACACUGUCAGAAGUGGAUACUGUUAAGAGCCAGAACUAGAGUUAUCUCUUUGAAGAAUUUGAUAAAAGACUUAGAUAAAGAGGUAAAGAAGACUCAUCCAAUCCUUUGGGUUGACCAUGAAGAUAUAAACUCUUAGGGGGUGAGAAAAUCUACAUAAGCAGACUCCAGGUCUUCAGAUGUUCUUAUGAUAUUAAUAAUAUGAAUGAAUACCUCUGUGUUGGAGAAUUUACUCUCUUUUUUUUUUUUUUUUUGCACCCAGGGGGUACUUAGCC